rnacentral:rRNA from 1 species
GACGAACGCUGGCGGCGUGCUUAACACAUGCAAGUCGAACGGAAAGGCCCUGCUUUUGUGGGGUGCUCGAGUGGCGAACGGGUGAGUAACACGUGAGUAACCUGCCCUUGACUUUGGGAUAACUUCAGGAAACUGGGGCUAAUACCGGGUAGGAGCUCCUGCUGCAUGGUGGGGGUUGGAAAGUUUCGGCGGUUGGGGAUGGACUCGCGGCUUAUCAGCUUGUUGGUGGGGUAGUGGCUUACCAAGGCUUUGACGGGUAGCCGGCCUGAGAGGGUGACCGGCCACAUUGGGACUGAGAUACGGCCCAGACUCCUACGGGAGGCAGCAGUGGGGAAUAUUGCACAAUGGGCGGAAGCCUGAUGCAGCAACGCCGCGUGCGGGAUGACGGCCUUCGGGUUGUAAACCGCUUUCGCCUGUGACGAAGCGCGAGUGACGGUAAUGGGUAAAGAAGCACCGGCUAACUACGUG